rnacentral:rRNA from 1 species
UACAGAGGCCUCAAGCGUUGUUCGGAAUCACUGGGCGUAAAGGGUGCGUAGGCGGCGCGGAAAGUCAGGGGUGAAAUCCCGGAGCUCAACUCCGGAACUGCCUUUGAUACUCCCGCGCCUGAGAACUGGAGGGGACAUCGGAAUUCACGGUGGAGCAGUGAAAUGCGCGAGAUAUCAGGAGGAACACCAAUGGCGAAGGCAGCUCGCUGGGACGGUACUGACGCUGAGACGACGAAAGCGGUGGGGAGCAAACAGGG